rnacentral:rRNA from 1 species
CGGCAAGAGCUCAAAUUUGAAAUCUGGCCUCUUUGGGGUCCGAGUUGUAAUUUGGAGAGGAUGCUUCGGGCGCCGCCCCUAUCUAAGUGCCCUGGAACGGGCUGUCAUGGAGGGUGAGAAUCCCGUCUGGGAUGGGUGGAGGUUGCCCAUGUGAAGCCCCUUC